GGGCCUACGGGAGGCAGCAGUGAGGAAUAUUGGUCAAUGGGCGAAAGCCUGAACCAGCCAUGCCGCGUGCAGGAAGACGGCUCUAUGAGUUGUAAACUGCUUUUGUACGGGAAUAACUUUAGCUACGUGUAGUUAAUUGAAUGUACCGUACGAAUAAGCACCGGCUAACUCCGUG
rnacentral:rRNA from 1 species